CCUACGGGGGGCAGCAGUGGGGAAUAUUGCGCAAUGGGCGAAAGCCUGAAGCAGCGACGCCGCGUGAGGGAUGAAGGUCUUCGGAUUGUAAAACUCUGUCAGCAGGGAAGAACGGUCACUGUGCUAUUCAGCAGUGAAUUGACGGUACCUGCAAAGGAAGCACCGACUAACUCCGUGCCAGCAGCCGCGGUAAUACGGAGGGUGCGAGCGUUAAUCGGAAUUACUGGGCGUAAAGCGCGCGUAGGCGGUAUGUCAAGUCAAGGGUGAAAUCCCCGCGCUCAACGUGGGAACUGCCUUUGAAACUGGCAGACUGGAGUGUGUGAGAGGAUGGUAGAAUUCCAGGUGUAGGGGUGAAAUCCGUAGAUAUCUGGAGGAACAUCAGUGGCGAAGGCGACUAUCUGGCACAUGACUGACGCUGAGGAGCGAAAGCGUGGGUAGCAAACAGGAUUAGAUACCCGUGUAGUC
rnacentral:rRNA from 1 species